rnacentral:ncRNA from 1 species
GAUAACUGAUAUUCCGAGUUGUGAAAUGAUAGGGUAACGCCUUGAAGCGCACCCCUAAUACUCCGAAUGGCAGAGAGUAUGCAACGACUCUCCCCAAAAGUGUUAUAGAGCUCGGUGAAGUCGGCAGAGAGUAGCCGUAAAUAUAGUUUUCAGACUAUGUACGAAAGCUGUCCAGAGGUGGAUGGUGCUACCUAUAUGCCGGGGGUCGGAUAU